ACAGCCCCGUACACAAAAAUGCACAUGCUGUGAGCUCGAUGAGUAGGGCGGGACACGUGGUAUCCUGUCUGAAUAUGGGGGGACCAUCCUCCAAGGCUAAAUACUCCUGACUGACCGAUAGUGAACCAGUACCGUGAGGGAAAGGCGAAAAGAACCCCGGCGAGGGGAGUGAAAAAGAACCUGAAACCGUGUACGUACAAGCAGUGGGAGCACGCUUAGGCGUGUGACUGCGUACCUUUUGUAUAAUGGGUCAGCGACUUAUAUUCUGUAGCAAGGUUAACCGAAUAGGGGAGCCGAAGGGAAACCGAGUCUUAACUGGGCGUUAAGUUGCAGGGUAUAGACCCGAAACCCGGUGAUCUAGCCAUGGGCAGGUUGAAGGUUGGGUAACACUAACUGGAGGACCGAACCGACUAAUGUUGAAAAAUUAGCGGAUGACUUGUGGCUGGGGGUGAAAGGCCAAUCAAACCGGGAGAUAGCUGGUUCUCCCCGAAAGCUAUUUAGGUAGCGCCUCGUGAAUUCAUCUCCGGGGGUAGAGCACUGUUUCGGCAAGGGGGUCAUCCCGACUUACCAACCCGAUGCAAACUGCGAAUACCGGAGAAUGUUAUCACGGGAGACACACGGCGGGUGCUAACGUCCGUCGUGAAGAGGGAAACAACCCAGACCGCCAGCUAAGGUCCCAAAGUCAUGGUUAAGUGGGAAACGAUGUGGGAAGGCCCAGACAGCCAGGAUGUUGGCUUAGAAGCAGCCAUCAUUUAAAGAAAGCGUAAUAGCUCACUGGUCGAGUCGGCCUGCGCGGAAGAUGUAACGGGGCUAAACCAUGCACCGAAGCUGCGGCAGCGACGCUUAUGCGUUGUUGGGUAGGGGAGCGUUCUGUAAGCCUGUGAAGGUGUGCUGUGAGGCAUGCUGGAGGUAUCAGAAGUGCGAAUGCUGACAUAAGUAACGAUAAAGCGGGUGAAAAGCCCGCUCGCCGGAAGACCAAGGGUUCCUGUCCAACGUUAAUCGGGGCAGGGUGAGUCGACCCCUAAGGCGAGGCCGAAAGGCGUAGUCGAUGGGAAACAGGUUAAUAUUCCUGUACUUGGUGUUACUGCGAAGGGGGGACGGAGAAGGCU
rnacentral:rRNA from 1 species